AUACGUAGGGGGCGAGCGUUGUCCGGAAUGAUUGGGCGUAAAGGGCGCGUAGGCGGCCCGGUAAGUCUGGAGUGAAAGUCCUGUUUUUAAGAAGGGAAUUGCUUUGGAUACUGUCGGGCUUGAGUGCAGGAGAGGUAAGUGGAAUUCCCAGUGUAGCGGUGAAAUGCGUAGAGAUUGGGAGGAACACCAGUGGCGAAGGCGACUUACUGGACUGUAACUGACGCUGAGGCGCGAAAGUGUGGGGAGCAAACAGGAUUAGAUACCCUGGUAGUCCACACUGUAAACGAUGAAUGCUAGGUGUAGGGGGUAUCGACCCCUUCUGUGCCGCAGUCAACACAAUAAGCAUUCCGCCUGGGGAGUACGGCCGCAAGGUUGAAACUCAAAUGAAUUGGCGGG
rnacentral:rRNA from 1 species